UACGUAGGGCGCAAGCGUUGUCCGGAAUUAUUGGGCGUAAAGAGCUCGUAGGCGGCUUGUCACGUCGGUUGUGAAAGCCCGGGGCUUAACCCCGGGUCUGCAGUCGAUACGGGCAUCACUAGAGUUCGGCAGGGGAGACUGGAAUUCCUGGUGUAGCGGUGAAAUGCGCAGAUAUCAGGAGGAACACCGGUGGCGAAGGCGGGUCUCUGGGCCGAUACUGACGCUGAGGAGCGAAAGCAUGGGUAGCGAACAGG
rnacentral:rRNA from 1 species